AACGAACGCUGGCGGCGCGCCUAAUACAUGCAAGUCGAGCGAGAAGACGUAGCAAUACGUUUGUAAAGCGGCGAACGGGUGAGGAAUACAUGGGUAACCUACCCUCGAGUGGGGAAUAACUAGCCGAAAGGUUAGCUAAUACCGCGUACGCUCCUUGGACUUCGGUUCAGGGAGGAAAGCGAUACCGUGGGUAUCGCGCUCUUGGAUGGGCUCAUGUCCUAUCAGCUUGUUGGUGAGGAACGGCUCACCAAGGCUUCGACGGGUAGCUGGUCUGAGAGGACGAUCAGCCACACUGGCACUGCGACACGGGCCAGACUCCUACGGGAGCAGCAGUAAGGAAUAUUGCGCAAUGGGCGAAAGCCUGACGCAGCGACGCCGCGUGGGGGAUGAAGGUCUUCGGAUUUGUAAACCCCUUUCGGGAGGGAAGAUGGAACGAGCAAUCGUUCGGACGGUACCUCCAGAAGCAGCCACGGCUAACUUCGUGCCAGCA
rnacentral:rRNA from 1 species